UGAGGGCAGGUGAAAGAUGAGGCUAGAGCCUGUGAUUGGGCAGUGGGAAAAGAAGGCCGGCUGAGAGUUUUACAGACUUGACAGAGACAGAAGGAGACGGAGAAGAGAAGACAAGAUGGAACCUAUGGGAGAGGAAGAGGAACCAGAAGCACGAGGUCCUGGGAGCCGUAUUUGCCUGUUUCUUAGCUGUCAUGAUUCCAAGGCUGAUAGUGAAGUUACAGGCUGUGAGUCUGGGUGUUCUCACUCAAAUACAUUGAUGUCUCUGAAGUUACGUAGAGAGUCAGUGAUCCGUGGUCUCCUGUUUGAGAGCUGACCUUGCUCUGCAGAUUCACUUCAUUUAAUGCAUAAUGUUGAAGUCAGGCCUACUGUGAACAUGAGACGAGGCUCACUUCUGCUUACAAGUUGGACUACUUGGUCUUUCCAUCAACAGUGAGUAAUCUACAUUUUCAUUAGCAUCUGACUUUUUAAAAAAAUGAGGAUUGGCCAUGCAGUGGUGGCCCAUGCCUUUAAUCCUAGCACUUGGGAGGCAGAGGCAAG